rnacentral:rRNA from 1 species
AACGUAGGUGGCGAGCGUUAUCCGGAUUUACUGGGCGUAAAGGGUGUGUAGGCGGAAGUCCAAGUGGUGUAUGAAAGCUCCCGGCUUAACCGGGAAGGGUUAUGCCAGACUGGACAUCUAGAGUGUGGGAGAGGGACGUGGAAUUCCGGGUGUAGUGGUAAAAUGCGUAGAGAUCCGGAGGAACACCAGAGGCGGAGGCGACACGCUGGGCCGUACCUGACACUGAUGCGCGACAGCAUGGGGAGCAAACAGG